GCUGGGCGUGGUGGUGGGCGCCUGUAAUCCCAGCUACUUGGAAGUCUGAGGCAGGAGAAUCACUUGAACCCGGGAGGCGGAGGUUGCAGUGAGCCGAGAUCACACCACUGCACUCCUGCCUGGGCAACAGAGUGAGACUCUGCCUCAA
rnacentral:SRP_RNA from 1 species